rnacentral:rRNA from 1 species
AUGGCUGUUGCAAGGUCAACGGCUGCAGGAGGUCCUCGACGACGGAGGGAACUCCGGUGGCGCUGCAAAACUUGUGGGCGAACGAGGCGUGGCAGAGAAGAUCCCCUGGUGUCUUCCGGCGACCCGGGGUCGAGGCGAGCAGGGGCUUGGCGUUGUCGUCUCUGUGGCGGCUGCAACAGAAGCUUGGCGCGCGGCCAACGCUUGGCGACACGGGACUCAAGGCGCAAGGCGAGGCGAGCUCGAGCAGAUCCGGCGGUGGCGCUUGCUGGAGGUUACCGGACGAAGCAGAACGACGGCGGCGACGCCGUGGAGCUUGAGCGAGCUCCUCCUCGUUCCUGGGAAGGAGAGAGAGAGAGGGCCACCGUGAGAGAGAGAGAGGAAAAAAAUAGGAGGAGGAGAGAAACGGGACAAGGCCGGUCCUGGUCGUGGGCGCUGGCGGUGGGGUCGCCGAAGGGCGCGGCCUGCAGGGUCGGCGAGGCUCGGCGCGAGGGCUCCUGCUCUGCUGCUGCGGCUGGUUGGAUGGAGGAAGGAGGAGGCUUGUAG